AGAACCAUCCUGACAUCCUAGCAAACCCAAAGGCACAGUGCAUGAAACAAAACCCCACCAAUCAGGAACCCCUCUAGCCAAGUUCUCAUUCCUCGUGCCCAAGAGGCAGCAGCACCUCCCAGCACCUCCCAGCUCCCUUCCCAGCUCAGCCCCAUGCUCCUACCUGGCUCCCUUCCUGGCAGAGGCACAGAGCUGAGCCCAGGCAGCCAAGGCACCACCAGAAGCACCCUCAGCUUGCUGAGGAAUGAAUACAGCCAGGCAAAGACCCAACAGAGAUUUUACGUGUUAUUUGUCUUCUACAACACCAUAGACAAAGGAUUUACCAACUGCCUUCAGCAAACAAAGAACAAAAUCCCUUGCCUGCAGGUGAAAUGCAGGCUGAGGAAGGUACCUUCGAGAAGCAAUGAAUCUAGGAAGCUGAGCAUGCCCCAAAUACUGCUCUGUCUGCUCAUCCAUAUGCUCAAGACUCAUCAGACAUUCAAAGACUCUUCCAGUGACUAAUGGUGGGUAGGGAGCAAUUGUCUGUAUCUGAGGACUGGCAUCAAGUAAGUUAACAGAAGUGAUUAAACAGAAAUGGAAAACGAUCAAUGAAGCACUGCAACAAUUUUCUGGAGACCUUCACUCCUACAUCCCAAAUGGACUGGGCAGGACUGUGGCCAACUAAGAUAACUAAGCAUAGAUUUAUUAAAUUCACAAAGAGCUACAUGUGCAAAAUAACCAUAAAAAUGUAUGGUUUUUUGUAUGUAUUUUCUGUUAUUUCCAGCAGAAGACUAUAAAUAAGACAAUCUACAGACUUUAGUGCUUUCUAUUCUUUCAAAACUUUUGCGGUGUGUGUCACUUUUCCCCUUUCAUCCUCAAUACAGAAGCCACAUUUAGUGUACUGCUGGGAUUUCCCAUAGUUUGUUUGAAAGUUUGUCAUUGACCAGCUCCUGAGCAUGGCACAGACCCACAGACCUUAAACCUUCAUCUGCUCUCAGUAAGUCAGUAGGAGCUUUUUCAGUCCUUCAGCACAGCUCAGAAAAAAUAAACCUGCCUUCCCUGAACCAUCUCGGAUUAGUUUGCUCUGCCCUUACUCAUGAGUAGCAUUGGUACUGCUGUA